rnacentral:tRNA from 1 species
CAUGGAAAAUGGUCGGG